rnacentral:rRNA from 1 species
UACGGAGGGGGCUAGCGUUGUUCGGAAUUACUGGGCGUAAAGCGCACGUAGGCGGCUUUGUAAGUUAGAGGUGAAAGCCCAGGGCUCAACCCUGGAAUUGUCUUUAAGACUGCAUCGCUUGAACAUCGGAGAGGUAAGUGGAAUUCCGAGUGUAGAGGUGAAAUUCGUAGAUAUUCGGAAGAACACCAGUGGCGAAGGCGACUUACUGGACGAUUGUUGACGCUGAGGUGCGAAAGCGUGGGGAGCAAACAGG